rnacentral:rRNA from 1 species
GACGAACGCUGGCGGCGUGCUUAACACAUGCAAGUCGAACGAAGUGGCGUACGGGUGAGUAACGCGUAAUCAACCUGCCCUUCAGAGGGGGACAACAGUUGGAAACGACUGCUCAUACCGCAUACUGAAGUAGGGGCUUGCGUUGGAUUAGCUAGUUGGAGGGGUCACGGCCCACCAAGGCGAGGAUUAGUAGCCGGUACGAGAGGGUGAACGGCCACAUUGGGACUGGGACACGGCCCAGACUCCUACGGGAGGCAGCAGGGGGGAAUCUUCCGAAAUGGACGAAAGUCUGACGGAGCAACGCCGCGUGAGUGAUGACGGCCUUCGGGUUGUAAAGCUCUGUUAAUCGGGACGCGGUACCGGAAUAGAAAGCCACGGCUAACUACGUGCCAGCAGCCGCGGUAAUAC